GGUUCCGUAGUGUAGCGGUUAUCACAUCUGCCUAACACGUAGAAGGUCCCCGGUUCGAGCCCAGGUGGAAUCA
rnacentral:tRNA from 1 species